GAUGAACGCUGGCGGCGUGCCUAAUACAUGCAAGUCGAGCGAACAGACGAGGCUCUCUUUCUACUUUCGUUACCGGCGGAUGGGUAAGUCACACGUAACUAACCUGUCUGUAUGGCUUGACUACCUGCAGCAAACCGUAGCAACUGCCAGUUAUUUUAUUGAAAUGUAUGAUUCAUUAGUGAAAGACGGUGUUGCUGUUAAUUAUUGAUGGAUCCGCGCCGCAUUAGCUAGUUGGUAAGGUAACGGCUUACCAAGGCAACGAUGCGUAGCCGACCUGAGAGGGUGAUCGGCCACACUGGAACUGAGACACGGUCCAGACUCCUACGGGAGGCAGCAGUAGGGUAUCUUCCGCAAUGGGCGAAAGCCUGACGGAGCAACGCCGCGUGAGUGAUGAAGGUCUUCGGAUCGUAAAACUCUGUUGUUAGGGAAGAACAAGUGUGUAAGUAACUAUGCGCAUCUUGACGGUACCUAAUCAGAAAGCCACGGCUAACUACGUG
rnacentral:rRNA from 1 species